rnacentral:rRNA from 2 species
CGGUGAAAUGCGUAGAUAUUAGGAGGAACACCAGUGGCGAAGGCGGCUUCCUGGACUGUAACUGACGCUGAGGCACGAAAGCUGGGGCAGCGAACAGGAUUAGAUACCCUGGUAGUCCCAGCCGUAAACGAUGGGUACUAGGUGUUGUCACUUCAUUGCGGCAGUGCCGGAGUUAACGCAAUAAGUACCCCGCCUGGGGAGUACGGCCGCAAGGCUGAAACUCAAAGGAAUUGACGGGGGCCCGCACAAGCGGCGGAGCAUGUGGUUUAAUUCG